GGAUCUAAAUGAACGGUUGGGAUAACACCUGUCUCAAUGUCACAAAAUUAGGUGUAAACUUAAGAAACGGCUCUCAGCCGGUAACAUUUUCUCUUUUUGUUGGGGUACACGAGUCUUGCACCAUCCUCUCUCACUCUCUCUCUAUUUCAUUUUCUCUCUAACCCUACCCGCAAUAACCAUAACCCUCUUUCAAUAGCUUCAUGCCCUUCCAAUAAUGGAAGGAAGCCGCAAAAACCUAACCCUUUGUCAAAUGAAAGGAAGCUGUAGGGAUCCUACCCCUUUGUCAAAUGGAAGAAAGCUGCAAGAACCUACCCCUCUGUCAAUCGCUUCAAGAAUGGAGGUUUAGGUUUGCAAAUGGAGGGCAUUGCUAAUUAUCACUAGUUUUGAAAGAGAUGAGGUAGACUACUGCCACUUCAAUAAUGGAGGGUUACGUUUGGAAAUGGAGGGCACCUCUAGUUUUGAGAGAGAGGGGUGAACUACAGCCGUUUCAACAAUAGAGAAUUAGGUUUGCAAAUGGUGGGCAUCGCUAGUUUUGAGAGAGAUGGGGUGGACUACCGCUCGAUGUUGCGGGUGGAAAUAGUGCUAGCAAAGCUUCAGAUAGUUGCUUCAAUUUGGGUUGUGGUCCUCUUUGUUCUGUGAGUAUUUGUUCUAUCAAUAUAUGCGUUCUGUCAAUAUUUGCUUGCAUUUUGGCUACGGUUUGGGUGGUGGUUUGUUCAUCAAAAGACAAAAAUUCAAUUUGCAUUGUGGUGUCUUCAUGUUCUGUCAAUAUUUGCUUCAAUUUGUGUUGUGGUUUGGGU
rnacentral:lncRNA from 1 species